CUAUCAUGUGGACUUGAAAUAUAUAUAUAUAUUUUUUACAAGAUUGCCUUCUCAACUAAUAAAUCAUCAUUUCGGUUCUGCGAUUAAAUUCCACAAGAAAUCAUUUAUAAAGAAGAACGAAGUUAAAAGCUGCAAGGAUGGCGUGCUUGUAGGAAGACCAUUAAUACAUUAGCAGCGUUGGAAUGAAGAUUACAAGGCACAUAUAUAUAUGGGUAGGGAAACUCACAAGAUAGGGUAUUAGCCUUCUAUUGAUCCUUUCUUUCUUUGUGCGGUAUCAAUCUGAGAGACUCUCGACACCACAAACUC
rnacentral:lncRNA from 1 species